GCAAGUUUUACCUCAUAUGGAUAAAGUUAUUUAAACAAGAAAAGUUAAAUACCAGAGAAGAGCUAUUUCAUUUUUAGUUACUUUUGGUUUCAGAACUUUGAGUCAGAAGUUUGAGAAGAUACUUGGCUAGUCUAGCCUCAGGAAAGCUGACUGCACAUCGACAGUGUAUGAGCCUGGAGAGGGUUCUCUCUCUUGUAGGAGAGGGGAACCACAUCUAAACAGUCAUGGCUGCAGAGAAGGAAUGUUCACAUUCAGGUGAAUCUUUCUUUCUUGGGUCAUAAUUCCAUUCAGUCUCUCUCAAAUACAGAUUUUCCUUGACUUAUGACGAGGUUACAUCCCAAAAAACCCAUCGUAAGGUGAAAAUAUCGUAAGUUGAAAAUGCGUUUAAUAUAGUUAACCUACUGAACAUCAUAGCUUGGCCUAGCCUACUUAAAUGUGCUCAGAGCACACAUUAGCCUAGAGUUGGGCAAAAUCAUCUAACACAAAACAUAUUUUAUACUAACGUGUUGAAUAUCUCGUGUAGUUUAUUGAAUGCUGUACUGAAAGUGACAAACAG
rnacentral:lncRNA from 1 species